rnacentral:rRNA from 1 species
GAUGAACGCUGGCGGCGUGCCUAAUACAUGCAAGUCGAGCGAACAGACGAGAAGCUUGCUUCUCUGACGUUAGCGGCGGACGGGUGAGUAACACGUGGAUAACCUACCUAUAAGACUGGGAUAACUUCGGGAAACCGGAGCUAAUACCGGAUAAUAUUUUGAACCGCAUGGUUCAAAAGUGAAAGACGGUCUUGCUGUCACUUAUAGAUGGAUCCGCGCCGCAUUAGCUAGUUGGUAAGGUAACGGCUUACCAAGGCAACGAUGCGUAGCCGACCUGAGAGGGUGAUCGGCCACACUGGAACUGAGACACGGUCCAGACUCCUACGGGAGGCAGCAGUAGGGAAUCUUCCGCAAUGGGCGAAAGCCUGACGGAGCAACGCCGCGUGAGUGAUGAAGGUCUUCGGAUCGUAAAACUCUGUUAUUAGGGAAGAACAUAUGUGUAAGUAACUGUGCACAUCUUGACGGUACCUAAUCAGAAAGCCACGGCUAACUACGUG